rnacentral:rRNA from 1 species
UACGUAGGGGGCAAGCGUUGUCCGGAUUUAUUGGGCGUAAAGAGCGUGUAGGCGGCCUUACAGGUCAGCUGUGAAAACUCGAGGCUCAACCUCGAGACGCCGAUGGAAACCAUCUGACUAGAGUCCGGAAGAGGAGAGUGGAAUUCCCGGUGUAGCGGUGAAAUGCGCAGAUAUCGGGAAGAACACCCGUGGCUAAGGCGGCUCUCUAGUACGGUACUGACGCUGAGACGCGAAAGCGUGGGGAGCGAACAGG